AUGUGGGAGGAAUGCUUGCCUCAUAUUGAAUUUGCUUAUAAUCGUUCAUUGCAUUCUACUACUAAGAUGUGCCCUUUUGAAGUUGUGUAUGGUUUCCUACCUCAUGCACCUAUUGAUUUGUUGCCUCUUCCAUAUUCGGAGAAGGUUAAUUUUGAUGCUAAACAACGUGCUGAAUUGAUUUUAAAAAUGCAUGAGUUAACUAAGGAAAACAUUGAGCGCAUGAAUGCUAAAUAUAAACUUGCUGGAGAUAAGGGUAGAAAACAUGUUGUGUUUGCACCUGGAGAUCUUGUUUGGUUACAUUUGCGUAAGGAUAGAUUUCCUGAUUUGCGCAAAUCAAAGUUAAUGCCACGUGCUGAUGGUCCCUUUAAGGUGUUAGAGAAAAUAAAUGAUAAUGCAUAUAAACUUGAGCUGCCUGCAGAUUUUGGGGUUAGUCCCACUUUUAACAUUGCAGAUUUGAAGCCUUAUUUGGGUGAGGAAGAUGAACUUCCAUCGAGGACGACUUCAUUUCAAGAAGGGGAGGAUGAUGAGGACAUCAAUACAAUUGUUACACCCACAGCCCCUGCUGUUAUACAUACUGGACCAAUUACUAGAGCUCGUGCACGCCAACUAAAUUACCAGGAAACAGACCCUCGUGGUCAGGUUGAUCGUGCUCCGGCGUGGUCAAUAACCUCUCGGAGUUGGUUUAGCGAUUGCUAA
rnacentral:rRNA from 1 species